rnacentral:misc_RNA from 1 species
CAUUUGUCAUCCCCUUCUUCCAAUGCUUCUGCAAUCAACCUUUCCAUAACCCCACUUCUAGAUAGCAAAGGAAACUUGUGAAGAUGGAAGGUCAUCUCCCCCNNNNNNNUCCACAACAAUAUCACUAGGAAGCCCAGUGGUGCAGAACCAGGCCUGCCCUUGCCUUUGGAAUGCAUCACUUUUAGAUCCCAAUUUCGUGCAAGCCAUUUUCUNGCCAUUUUCUCAGAAUGCAAGCAGCGAAAUCUUAGAGAUCCUAGCUUCCUGGCAGGUAAGCUAAUGCAGUGCUCAAAGUAGAUCUCUUUUAACCCUGUAAUCACAAC